GCAUGUCUACAACAUAGCGUUAAUGCAGCGGAUCCCAUUAGAACUCUGUAGUUAAGCGCGCUCAGGAUAGAGUAGUACUAGGAUGGGUGAUCGUCUAGGAAGUUCUAUUGUUUUACAUGCC
rnacentral:rRNA from 1 species